rnacentral:rRNA from 1 species
GUGUCAGCAGCCGCGGUAAUACGGAGGGUGCAAGCGUUAUCCGGAUUCACUGGGUUUAAAGGGAGCGUAGGUGGGUUGGUAAGUCAGUGGUGAAAUCCCCGAGCUUAACUUGGGAACUGCCAUUGAUACUAUCAGUCUUGAAUACUGUGGAGGUUAGCGGAAUAUGUCAUGUAGCGGUGAAAUGCUUAGAUAUGACAUAGAACACCAAUUGCGAAGGCAGCUGGCUACACAAAUAUUGACACUGAGGCUCGAAAGCGUGGGGAUCAAACAGGAUUAGAAACCCCUGUAGUCC